ensembl:lncRNA
UCCAGUUCAGUGGUUUGGAUUAGCUGAGGCGACACCUGGCAGACAGCUAAUGUCCUGUGGUAACAUCCACCCGUUACAAAAAUGGGUCUAUUAUAGGUAUGUUACAAUGUACACGGUAUGAAGGUAUGUUAUGAAUAUGCAAUAACUAUAAGUAUGUACAGGCUGUAGUGGGUAUACAAGCUAUGUACAGGCUAUGAACAGGAUAUAAAUAUGAAACUAUACAGAAAUAUGCAAGUUAUAAACAGUUGUAGAAUUGUAAUUAUCGUAUUGUACAGAAUGAUUGUUUAUACAGAAUUAUACAGUAGUGCAGUUAAGAUAAGUGAAAUAUGUGGCUACUUUCUACAGAGGCUAUAUAAAGUGCUAGUGGUUGUGGGUGUGUGUAUUGUUACGUUUUGGUGUUGUCGGUGUGUUGCUUUUGGCGUGACUGUUAUGUUUCCUGUUUUACUUUGAAAGUCUGUGUUAUCUUAGUGUUUUCAGUUUACGUUUCCCUGUCUCGUCAGGUCUAAUUUGCCCCAGCUGUGUUUCCCUCCUGUGGUCCAUUCCCUGAUUGCCCCUUCUAUGUAUUUAAGCCUUGUGUUUCAGUGUGUCAUGGUCGCGAUCUUCCCCCCCGUUGUAAAUAGUUGGGUGUUUUGUUGUCAAGAAAUAGUUUGUUGUAAAUAGCUGUAAAUAGAUUUGUCGAUACUUUCGUUUUGGGAUUUUGGUGGUGAGCUUUAGUGGGGGUUUUUUUGUGUGUUUUUCUUUCUUUAUUUUUACUUUUUUCGUGUUGCACUCCGGUUGCCUAGGCCGGGGUGUAACAUAUGGGGGCUCGUCCGGGAUUGCCUUCACUGGGGGGUCCGGGGACCGCCCCAGCCUUUGUCGUCGCUGGAGGGUCCGUGGGACCGCUCCAGCCUUCAUCCGCCUUCGCUGGAGGGUCCGUGGGACCGCUCCAGCCUUCGUCGUCUGCUGGAGGGUCAGUGGGACCGCUCCAGCCUUCAUCAUCUUCGUCUGCCUUCGCUCCAGCCUUCGUUUGUCUUCGCUGGAGGAUCCGAGGGACCGCUCCAGCCUUCAUCCGCCUUCGCUGGAGGGUCCGAGGGACCGCUCCAGCCUUCGUCGUCUGCUGGAGGGUCAGUGGGACCGCUCCAGCCUUCAGCUUCGUCUGCCUUCGCUGAGGGGAGGGUCCGUGGGACCGCCCCAGCCUUUGUCGUCACUGGAGGGUCCGUGGGACCGCUCCAGCCUUCAUCCGCCUUCGCUGGAGGGUCCGUGGGACCGCUCCAGCCUUCGUCGUCUGCUGGAGGGUCAGUGGGACCGCUCCAGCCUUCAUCAGCUUCGUCUGCCUUCGCUGAGGGGAGGGUCCGUGGGACCGCCCCAGCCUUUGUCGUCACUGGAGGGUCCGUGGGACCGCUCCAGCCUUCAUCCGCCUUCGCUGGAGGGUCCGUGGGACCGCUCCAGCCUUCGUCGUCUGCUGGAGGGUCAGUGGGACCGCUCCAGCCUUCAUCGGCUUCGUCUGUCUGGAUCAAACUUUUCACUUGGUGUUAAAUGUUUGAUUUUUGGGUGGGGGGAACUGUUACGUUUUGGUGUUGUCGGUGUGUUGCUUUUGGCGUGACUGUUAUGUUUCCUGUUUUACUUUGAAAGUCUGUGUUAUCUUAGUGUUUUCAGUUUACGUUUCCCUGUCUCGUCAGGUCUAAUUUGCCCCAGCUGUGUUUCCCUCCUGUGGUCCAUUCCCUGAUUGCCCCUUCUAUGUAUUUAAGCCUUGUGUUUCAGUGUGUCAUGGUCGCGAUCUUCCCCCCCGUUGUAAAUAGUUGGGUGUUUUGUUGUCAAGAAAUAGUUUGUUGUAAAUAGCUGUAAAUAGAUUUGUCGAUACUUUCGUUUUGGGAUUUUGGUGGUGAGCUUUAGUGGGGGUUUUUUUGUGUGUUUUUCUUUCUUUAUUUUUACUUUUUUCGUGUUGCACUCCGGUUGCCUAGGCCGGGGUGUAACAGUAUGUUCAGUCCAUUAUUUUAACGUGGGUCAGAUGUCAGGAGGCAGAGUUCAGGAGUCUCUGUUUCUGUCCUCUAAGUUCAGUAUGUAGCCCACUGAAUUGUGUUACAUUAUUAUUAAACUUUUAUUAUUAUUAUUAUUAUUAUUAUUAUUAUUAUUUGGAUAUGAAAAAAUAAAAAUAAAUAUAAAAAAAAUCCUAAAUCAUAUAUAUGAAUAAUGUCUGAACCUCUUUGUGUUGACUAUCAUAUCAACUUUAUUUAUUUAUUUAUUUUUAUUUAGGCAAUAACACCUUUAAACAACUGAAGUUACGUUGAAACCAAGCACACCAUUGUUUUUCUUGUGACAUUACCAAUAAGUUUGAUGUGUCACAUGGCCCUCUUCCUAUUGGAAAAACAAAAGUUGUACCCAAGAUGGCCGACUUCUAAAUGGCCACCAUGGUCACCUCCCAUCUGGAGGAGUUUGCCCCCUCACAUAUACUAAUGUGCCGCAAACAGGACUUUAAUAUCACCAACCAUUCCCAUGUUAUUACGGUGUAUCCAUAUAAAUGGCCCACCCUGUAAGUCUAAUGUCUGUCCAAACUUUGCUUUAUCUCUGCUUUUGGUCUCUAUUAAGUCUUAAAGGCAAUAUGCUCACAUGCUCCACUACGGUCAACUGACCAGAUGAAAAUGUUUAACAUGUAGUGGGCAAUUAGUCUACAGUUUUAAAAAAAGUUUUACAGGAAAGUUUAACAGUUACCUUUUAUAUGUAAGAUGGUGCACCAUUAUAAAAAAAACACUGGAAUAAUAAUUUUCUUACAAUCCGGCAUUGCAAACAUAAGGAGUCGUACCUCCAACUGACAAACUCUUGAAAAGAAAAACAUGUACAAAAGAAGUAGCAACACUGUAAAUAAGGCCAACUGUCAGCAUUCUUCCUUAUGACAACAACACCACCUUCA